UACGAAGGGGGGCUAGCGUUGCUCGGAAUCACUGGGCGUAAAGCGCACGUAGGCGGCUUUCUAAGUCAGGGGUGAAAUCCUGGAGCUCAACUCCAGAACUGCCUUUGAUACUGGAGAGCUUGAGUCCGGGGAGAGGUGAGUGGAACUCCGAGUGUAGAGGUGAAAUUCGUAGAUAUUCGCAAGAACACCAGUGGCGAAGGCGGCUCACUGGCCCGGUACUGACGCUGAGGUGCGAAAGCGUGGGGAGCAAACAGG
rnacentral:rRNA from 1 species